rnacentral:piRNA from 1 species
AGCUCAUCUUUAUUUCAACACUGUCCAGU